rnacentral:rRNA from 1 species
CCUGGCUCAGGAUGAACGCUAGCUACAGGCUUAACACAUGCAAGUCGAGGGGCAGCAUGAACUUAGCUUGCUAAGUUUGAUGGCGACCGGCGCACGGGUGAGUAACACGUAUCCAACCUGCCGAUGACUCGGGGAUAGCCUUUCGAAAGAAAGAUUAAUACCCGAUGGCAUAGUUCUUCCGCAUGGUAGAACUAUUAAAGAAUUUCGGUCAUCGAUGGGGAUGCGUUCCAUUAGGUUGUUGGCGGGGUAACGGCCCACCAAGCCUUCGAUGGAUAGGGGUUCUGAGAGGAAGGUCCCCCACAUUGGAACUGAGACACGGUCCAAACUCCUACGGGAGGCAGCAGUGAGGAAUAUUGGUCAAUGGACGAGAGUCUGAACCAGCCAAGUAGCGUGAAGGAUGACUGCCCUAUGGGUUGUAAACUUCUUUUAUACGGGAAUAAAGUGAGGCACGUGUGCCUUUUUGUAUGUACCGUAUGAAUAAGGAUCGGCUAACUCCGUGCCAGCAGCCGCGGUAAUACGGAGGAUCCGAGCGUUAUCCGGAUUUAUUGGGUUUAAAGGGAGCGUAGGCGGACGCUUAAGUCAGUUGUGAAAGUUUGCGGCUCAACCGUAAAAUUGCAGUUGAUACUGGGUGUCUUGAGUACAGUAGAGGCAGGCGGAAUUCGUGGUGUAGCGGUGAAAUGCUUAGAUAUCACGAAGAACUCCGAUUGCGAAGGCAGCCUGCUGGACUGUAACUGACGCUGAUGCUCGAAAGUGUGGGUAUCAAACAGGAUUAGAUACCCUGGUAGUCCACACAGUAAACGAUGAAUACUCGCUGUUUGCGAUAUACAGUAAGCGGCCAAGCGAAAGCGUUAAGUAUUCCACCUGGGGAGUACGCCGGCAACGGUGAAACUCAAAGGAAUUGACGGGGGCCCGCACAAGCGGAGGAACAUGUGGUUUAAUUCGAUGAUACGCGAGGAACCUUACCCGGGCUUGAAUUGCAACUGAAUGAUGUGGAGACAUGUCAGCCGCAAGGCAGUUGUGAAGGUGCUGCAUGGUUGUCGUCAGCUCGUGCCGUGAGGUGUCGGCUUAAGUGCCAUAACGAGCGCAACCCUUAUCGAUAGUUACCAUCAGGUGAUGCUGGGGACUCUGUCGAGACUGCCGUCGUAAGAUGUGAGGAAGGUGGGGAUGACGUCAAAUCAGCACGGCCCUUACGUCCGGGGCUACACACGUGUUACAAUGGGGGGUACAGAAGGCAGCUACACGGCGACGUGAUGCUAAUCCCGAAAGCCUCUCUCAGUUCGGAUUGGAGUCUGCAACCCGACUCCAUGAAGCUGGAUUCGCUAGUAAUCGCGCAUCAGCCACGGCGCGGUGAAUACGUUCCCGGGCCUUGCACACACCGCCC